GCAAGGUGGCACAGGAACGAUGAGAGGCUAUGGCUUAUGUGUCAAAGUGCCUUGCUUCUUUGGGGGAAAUGAUGUGUGGCCCUCCUAGAUCGAGCGGCCGUUGUCAGUGGGUGAGAAGAAGAAUUCCCAUGGUGUUUUGUGGCUUCCCAGGGGCUGACGGUAGCUGUCGGGGAGAGGGAGCUCCUGCGUCAGCGGAGCAGAGAGCAUCUCAAGGGCGUUCCGGCUUGGAUGUGGGUCGGGCGUAAUGCUUGGUUUACGGUGCUUAGAUGGCAGAGCAGGCCUAGCUGGGCUCUCGAUGGGCUUGCUACCUGGGAACAAGGCCUGUGGAAUGGCUAAGCUAUUGCUGUUCAUUGAGGGGACUUGUUUGAUAUUUUGGCAGAUGCCGAGGGAGGAGUCGUGCAGGGCGACGGAGGAGGGCCGAGGAUAGCGCUGUAAGCAGGUGGUGGUCGAGCUUGAACAUGGCAGUUGGAACUGAUGGCGUCCAGGUGCCGCAAUCAGCCUUCAGAGGGGAGACGACGCAUGGCGACGAGGGGUCCGAGAAGACUGUGUGCGGCUGCCUUUGGGACUGGAUGCGCGUUUGAGGGGCCACAAGGGAGGACAACAGUGUGAGUUGGGCACGGCCACAGAGCAAGUGAGCAGAGCAGCUGGGCGCAUCUGAGGUAGACGGAUGCAGCGGCCUAGGUCUUUGUAGAGUGAUGGGAUGCUGACUGACAGGGCUGUUGUGUGGGGCUUGUGAUAGUUUUUGUUUUUUUCAGAUGACGAAGAGGCAGCUGGUGACUGGAGGAGUGACGUGUGCUUGUCCUCCAGAAGGAAGGGAAGAGGGAGAGACUCGGCCCCUUGAAAGCUAAGUUGAGGCAACGGUGCUGGGGAAGGGGUUGGGGGAGCGAGGGGGGGCACGGUUGGCUGUGGCAGGAAGGGGUUCUAAAGAGAGCGUAGGGGAGAGGGUUGUCUAGGAAGCGGUCCCCUUUGAGCAGGGGAAUGGAGCGGGUUCCUCUGAAAUAUGACAGUAGUGUGCCCUGGGCAGGGCGGUUCCAGGCUGUGCGUGUCGUUGUGUAGUGCGUCUGUGUGUUGGGUGUGUUUGACCUUCCUCGGGUCUCGGGUGUUCUUUGUUCCGCAGGAUCGAGGCAGGUGCCUCGGCAGCGUUAGUAGGGCCCGGCGAGGCCCUAGUCGUGGGCACGGCGCCCAUCGGGCGCUUCUCUUUUGGCGUCGCAAGCUUCC